rnacentral:rRNA from 1 species
CGGACACAUUGGAACUGACGCACGGUCCAGACUCCUACGGGAGGCAGCAGUAGGGAAUAUUGCUCAAUGGGGGAAACCCUGAAGCAGCAACGCCGCGUGGAGGAUGAAGGUUUUAGGAUUGUAAACUCCUUUUGUUAGAGAAGAUAAUGACGGUAUCUAACGAAUAAGCACCGGCUAACUCCGUGCCAGCAGCCGCGGUAAUACGGAGGGUGCAAGCGUUACUCGGAAUCACUGGGCGUAAAGAGCGCGUAGGCGGGAUAGUCAGUCAGGUGUGAAAUCCUAUGGCUUAACCAUAGAACUGCAUUUGAAACUACUAUUCUAGAGUGUGGGAGAGGUAGGUGGAAUUCUUGGUGUAGGGGU